UACGUAGGGGGCAAGCGUUGUCCGGAAUCAUUGGGCGUAAAGAGCGCGUAGGCGGCCCUGUAAGUCCGCUGUGAAAGUCAAGGGCUCAACCCUUGAAUGCCGGUGGAUACUGCAGGGCUAGAGUCCGGAAGAGGCGAGUGGAAUCCUGGUGUAGCGGUGGAAUGCGCAGAUAUCAGGAGGAACACCGAUAGCGAAGGCAGCUCGCUGGGACGGUACUGA
rnacentral:rRNA from 1 species